rnacentral:rRNA from 1 species
AGCCACCUUCGGGUGGUGGACAGUGGCAGACGGGUGAGUAACGCGUGGGAACGUGCCUUUCGGUUCGGAAUAACCCAGGGAAACUUGGGCUAAUACCGGAUACGCCCUUCGGGGGAAAGAUUCAUUGCCGAAAGAUCGGCCCGCGUCGGAUUAGCUAGUUGGUGGGGUAAUGGCUCACCAAGGCGACGAUCCGUAGCUGGUCUGAGAGGAUGACCAGCCACACUGGGACUGAGACACGGCCCAGACUCCUACGGGAGGCAGCAGUGGGGAAUAUUGCACAAUGGGCGAAAGCCUGAUGCAGCCAUGCCGCGUGGGUGAAGAAGGCCUUAGGG